GGGUUUGUUUGAGUAAAUAGGAAAUUAUUUUUUAGUAGUUUGAGCGGAAAUUUAGGGGUCUCUAGAGUGUAAUUAGUACUGAGAAGGAAAGUUUGUUUAGUUUUUUGGAAUAUUAGGUUUUUUAGUACCUUUUGUAUUAGGGGUGAUUAAUGUGGUAUUGCGUUUGUUUUUUCUCGAUGAAUAUCGGGCUAUUUUUUCUUUUUAAAUCUCGUUGUAUAGAGUGAAGUAGGAAAUUAUAGUUAUGAAAUAUUAUUCAAGUUAUUUUUUAUCUAGUUUCUUAAGAAAGCUAAUAGAUGGUAUUAUUAUUAGGACAAUAGGUAGGGAUUAGCUUAUUUAUUUUUUAUAUUGGUUUAUUUUUGUUGGUUGCUUAUUAAGUUGAUAGUGCUUAUUUUUAUGGAGUUAUUUUUGAACAAGUUGUAUGAAUUAUUUUUGGGGGUUUAUGUGAGUAUUAAGAUUGUAUUUUUAAUUUUUUUUGGUUUGAGAUAAUGAUUAUAUUAGUAAUAUUUUUUAUUGUUUUGUUUAUUUUUUGUUUGAAGUGUAGUUUUACGAUUGGAGAUUGUUUUAAAUUAGGAUUGAUGAAUUAGGCAAAGUUGAUUUCUGACUGUUUAGCAAAAACAUUGUUUUUUGUUGAGGUAAAAAAUAAGUUCUGUCCACUGCUAUUAGGUGAAGGGCUGCAGUAUUUUGACUGUAUGAAGGUAGCAUAAUCAUUAGCUUUUUAAUUGGGAGCUGGUAUGAAGGUGAAACAGGGAUUUGCUGUUUUUCUUCUAUUUUUUGAAUUUUAUUUUCAUGUGAAAAAUCAUGAUUGGGUUAAUGGGACAAGAAGACCCUAAUAAGUUUUAUUUCUUUGUUUAAUGCGUGUAUAGGUUUAUUUAUGUAAUUUAUUUGAGGUGGUUUGGCUGGGGCGGCAGUUUAUUUAACAUAAAUUAAUUUUUAACUUUAGUGGCGAAUUUUGGACCUAAUAGGUUUAGAUUAGUGUAAAAUUACUGUAGGGAUAACAGCGUGAUUUUAUUUGAGAGUUCUAAUUGACAGUAAA
rnacentral:rRNA from 1 species